rnacentral:rRNA from 1 species
GUGAACGCUGGCGGUAGGCCUAACACAUGCAAGUCGAACGGCAGCACAGUAAGAGCUUGCUCUUACGGGUGGCGAGUGGCGGACGGGUGAGGAAUACAUCGGAAUCUACUUUUUCGUGGGGGAUAACGUAGGGAAACUUACGCUAAUACCGCAUACGACCUACGGGUGAAAGCAGGGGUCUUUCGAACUUUCCUCAAUUAAUGUGCCCGAUGCCGGAUUAGCUAGUUGGCGGGGUAAAGGCCCACCAAGGCGACGAUCCGUAGCUGGUCUGAGAGGAUGAUCAGCCACACUGGAACUGAGACACGGUCCAGACUCCUACGGGAGGCAGCAGUGGGGAAUAUUGGACAAUGGGCGCAAGCCUGAUCCAGCCAUACCGCGUGGGUGAAGAAGGCCUUCGGGUUGUAAAGCCCUUUUGUUGGGAAAGAAAAGCAGCAGGUUAAUACCCCGCUGUUCUGACGGUACCCAAAGAAUAAGCACCGGCUAACUUCGUG